GGAUGCGAGAACGAUAUGUCUGGCCUAGACAUGUCACCUUACUGAUGGCCAGUGUUGAUUUCUCUAAUCUGGUUGGCCUGCCUGGGGUCCCUGUUUUUUCCCUCAUACUCCUGUGUGUCCCUCCCAAAGCUGAGUGCUUGCUCAAGAAGUCGGCGUUCUCCAAAUAGAGACUGCUCUUGGGGCAAGGGUAUAUGAGUAGCUAUGGUCCCUUGCUAGCACCUCCAAAAAGGCUCAAGUUCUAAAUUUCUGAUAUUAGGAGUAGAACAUAAAAGUUUCUUUUCCCUAUUUGUUGAUAACA
rnacentral:snRNA from 1 species